GUGGGGAAUCUUGCGCAAUGGGCGAAAGCCUGACGCAGCCAUGCCGCGUGAAUGAUGAAGGUCUUAGGAUUGUAAAAUUCUUUCACCGGGGACGAUAAUGACGGUACCCGGAGAAGAAGCUCCGGCUAACUUCGUGCCAGCAGCCGCGGUAAUACGAAGGGGGCUAGCGUUGCUCGGAAUUACUGGGCGUAAAGGGCGCGUAGGCGGACAGCUUAGUCAGAGGUGAAAGCCCAGGGCUCAACCUUGGAAUUGCCUUUGAUACUGGCUGUCUUGAGUUUGGGAGAGGUGAGUGGAACUCCGAGUGUAGAGGUGAAAUUCGUAGAUAUUCGGAGGAACACCAGUGGCGAAGGCGGCUCACUGGCUCGAUACUGACGCUGAGGUGCGAAAGCGUGGGGAGCAAACAGGAUUAGAAACCCUGGUAGUCC
rnacentral:rRNA from 1 species